rnacentral:rRNA from 1 species
GACGAACGCUGGCGGCGUGCUUAACACAUGCAAGUCGAACGGAAAGGCCCUGCUUUUGUGGGGUGCUCGAGUGGCGAACGGGUGAGUAACACGUGAGUAACCUGCCCUUGACUUUGGGAUAACUUCAGGAAACUGGGGCUAAUACCGGAUAGGAGCUCCUGCUGCAUGGUGGGGGUUGGAAAGUUUCGGCGGUUGGGGAUGGACUCGCGGCGUAUCAGCUUGUUGGUGGGGUAGUGGCUUACCAAGGCUUUGACGGGUAGCCGGCCUGAGAAGGUGACCGGACAAAUUGGGACUGAGAUACGGCACAGACUCCUACGGGAGGCAGCAGUGGGGAAUAGUGCACAAUGGGCGGAAGCCUGAUGCAGCAACGCAGCGUGCGGGAUGACGGCCUUCGGGUUGUAAACCGAUUUCGCCUGUGACGAGGCGUGAGUGACGGUAAUGGGUAAAGAAGCACCGGCUAACUACGUG